GACGAACGCUGGCGGCGUGCUUAACACAUGCAAGUCGAACGGAAAGGCCCUGCUUGCAGGGUACUCGAGUGGCGAACGGGUGAGUAACACGUGGGUGAUCUGCCCUGCACUUCGGGAUAAGCCUGGGAAACUGGGUCUAAUACCGGAUAGGAGCCAUUUUUAGUGUGCUGGUUGGAAGGUUUUUUCGGUGUGGAAUGAGCUCGCGCCCUACAUGCUUGUUGUUGGGGUAUAGGCCUACCAGGGCGGGAUCGGGUACCCGGCCUUGGAGGGUGACCGGCCACAUUGGGACUGAGCUACGGCCCAGGCUCCUACUGGAGGCAGCAGUGGGGAAUAUUUCACCAUGGGCGCCAGCCUGAUGCAGCGACGCCGCGUGUGGGAUGACGGCCUUCGUGUUGUAAACUCCUUUCGCUAGGGACGAAGCUUUUUGUGACGUUACCUAGAUUAGAAGCACCGGCUAACUACGUG
rnacentral:rRNA from 1 species